ACCAGACUCCUACGGGAGGCAGCAGUGGGGAAUAUUGCACAAUGGGGGAAACCCUGAUGCAGCGACGCCGCGUGAGUGAAGAAGUAUUUCGGUAUGUAAAGCUCUAUCAGCAGGGAAGAAAAUGACGGUACCUGACUAAGAAGCUCCGGCUAAAUACGUGCCAGCAGCCGCGGUAAUACGUAUGGAGCAAGCGUUAUCCGGAUUUACUGGGUGUAAAGGGAGCGCAGGCGGUCCGGCAAGUCUGAUGUGAAAGGCGGGGGCUCAACCCCCGGACUGCAUUGGAAACUGUCGGGCUGGAGUGUCGGAGGGGCAGGCGGAAUUCCUAGUGUAGCGGUGAAAUGCGUAGAUAUUAGGAGGAACACCAGUGGCGAAGGCGGCUUACUGGACUGUAACUGACGUUGAGGCUCGAAAGCGUGGGGAGCAAACAGGAUUAGAUACCCUCGUACGG
rnacentral:rRNA from 1 species